CAUUUCUUGGCGGGAACUGGGCAUCUGGACCUGCUCCCUAUUAUGUACAAAGGUAGAGGGAAAGGGCUCUGGCCCCUUUGGUGUUAUGUCCUUGGUGCCAGUGGCUUCUUGUCCACUGGUAUCCUCAAGCUCUGGGACAUGG